rfam:Aedes albopictus isolate Foshan contig63196, whole genome shotgun sequence.
CCAGUUAGCCUAGUGGUUAAGGCUACGAAUCGCCAAUCCGGAGACUGCGAGUUCGAUUCCCGUUCUGG